rnacentral:rRNA from 1 species
CAGAGAUAAUCUUUUCCCACUACUGCUGGCGUAGCGACCGUAUGUGUAGGAUAGGUGGGAGGCUAUGAAACCGGGGCGCCAGCUCUGGUGGAGUCGUCCUUGAAAUACCACCCUUACUGUCGUUGACGUCUAACCGAGGGCCGUUAUCCGGUCCCGGGACAUGGCGUGGUGGGUAAUUUGACUGGGGCGGUCCCCUCCCAAAGUGUAACGGAAGCCCCCGAUGGUGAGCUCAAAACGGUCGGAAAUCCCUCGUCUAAUGGAAUGGCAUAAGCUCCCCUGAAUGCCAAACUGAAAAGUCCAACAAAAACCAAAGUCCGCCAUAAUGAUCCGGUGGUCCCGAGUGGAAAGGCCCUCCCUCAACGGAUAAAAGGUACUCUAGGGAUAACAGGCUUAAA